rnacentral:misc_RNA from 1 species
GAUGAAGAACGCAGCGAAAUGCGAUAAGUAAUGUGAAUUGCAGAAUUCAGUGAAUCAUCGAAUCUUUGAACGCACAUUGCGCCCGCCAGUAUUCUGGCGGGCAUGCCUGUCCGAGCGUCAUUUCAACCCUCGAACCCCUCCGGGGGGUCGGCGUUGGGGACCUCGGGAGCCCCUAAGACGGGAUCCCGGCCCCGAAAUACAGUGGCGGUCUCGCCGCAGCCUCUCCUGCGCAGUAGUUUGCACAACUCGCACCGGGAGCGCGGCGCGUCCACGUCCGUAAAACACCCAACUUCUGAAAUGUUGACCUCGGAUCAGGUAGGAAUACCCGCUGAACUUAAGCAUAUCAAUAAGCAGAGGA